rnacentral:rRNA from 1 species
GAGGAGGUCGCGGCUGAUUAGCUGGUUGGCGGGGUAAUGGCCCACCAAGGCGAAGAUCGGUAGCCGGCCUGAGAGGGCGCACGGCCACACUGGAACUGAAACACGGUCCAGACUCCUACGGGAGGCAGCAGUGGGGAAUUUUGCGCAAUGGGGGAAACCCUGACGCAGCAACGCCGCGUGGAGGAUGAAGUCCCUUGGGACGUAAACUCCUUUCGACCAGGAAGAUAAUGACGGUACCGGUGGAAGAAGCCCCGGCUAACUUCGUGCCAGCAGCCGCGGUAAUACGAGGGGGGCAAGCGUUGUUCGGAAUUAUUGGGCGUAAAGGGCGCGUAGGCGGUGCGGUAAGUCACCUGUGAAAUCUCUGGGCUUAACUCAGAGCUUGCAGGCGAAACUGCCGUGCUGGAGUGUGGGAGAGGUGCGUGGAAUUCCCGGUGUAGCGGUGAAAUGCGUAGAUAUCGGGAGG